AGUGAACGCUGGCGGUAGGCCUAACACAUGCAAGUCGAACGGCAGCACAGUAAUAGCUUGCUCUUACGGGUGGCGAGUGGCGGACGGGUGAGGAAUACAUCGGAAUCUACUUUUUCGUGGGGGAUAACGUAGGGAAACGUACGCUAAUACCGCAUACGACCUACGGGUGAAAGCAGGGGAUCUUCGGACCUUGCGCGAUUGAAUGAGCCGAUGUCGGAUUAGCUAGUUGGCGGGGUAAAGGCCCACCAAGGCGACGAUCCGUAGCUGGUCUGAGAGGAUGAUCAGCCACACUGGAACUGAGACACGGUCCAGACUCCUACGGGAGGCAGCAGUGGGGAAUAUUGGACAAUGGGCGCAAGCCUGAUCCAGCCAUACCGCGUGGGUGAAGAAGGCCUUCGGGUUGUAAAGCCCUUUUGUUGGGAAAGAAAAGCAGCAGGUUAAUACCCCGCUGUUCUGACGGUACCCAAAGAAUAAGCACCGGCUAACUUCGUG
rnacentral:rRNA from 1 species